GACGAACGCUGGCGGCGUGCUUAACACAUGCAAGUCGAACGGUGAAGCGCCUUCCUUUUUGGUGGGUGUGGAUGAGUGGCGAACGGGUGGGUAACACGUGAGUAACCUGCCCCCUUCUUCUGGAUAACCGCAUGAAAGUGUGGCUAAUACGGGAUAUUCUGGGUCUGUCGCAUGAUGGGUCUGGGAAAGAUAUUGUUUCGGUGGGGGAUGGGCUCGCGGCCUAUCAGCUUGUUGGUGGGGUGAUGGCCUACCAAGGCGGUGACGGGUAGCCGGCCUGAGAGGGUGGACGGUCACACUGGGACUGAGACACGGCCCAGACUCCUACGGGAGGCAGCAGUGGGGAAUAUUGCACAAUGGGCGCAAGCCUGAUGCAGCGACGCCGCGUGAGGGGUGGAGGCCUUCGGGUUGUGAACCUCUUUCGCCAGUGAAGCAGGCCUGCCUCGUUUGUGGGUGGGUUGACGGUAGCUGGAGAAGAAGCGCCGGCUAACUACGUG
rnacentral:rRNA from 1 species